AGCCUAGUGUAAUGGUUUGAGUGUUGGAUACAACUCUGGAGACCAGGGUUCAAAUCCCUGCUUGGCUA